UACGUAGGGUGCAAGCGUUGUCCGGAAUUAUUGGGCGUAAAGAGCUCGUAGGCGGUUCGGUAAGUCAGCUGUGAAAUCUCCGCGCUCAACGCGGAGGGGUCAGCUGAUACUGCCGUGACUUGAGUCUGGUAGGGGAGUGCGGAAUUCCCGGUGUAGCGGUGAAAUGCGCAGAUAUCGGGAGGAACACCAGUGGCGAAGGCGGCACUCUGGGCCAGUACUGACGCUGAGGAGCGAAAGCGUGGGGAGCGAACAGG
rnacentral:rRNA from 1 species